GUCUGGGAAACUGCCCGAUGGAGGGGGAUAACUACUGGAAACGGUAGCUAAUACCGCAUAACGUCGCAAGACCAAAGAGGGGGACCUUCGGGCCUCUUGCCAUCGGAUGUGCCCAGAUGGGAUUAGCUAGUAGGUGGGGUAAAGGCUCACCUAGGCGACGAUCCCUAGCUGGUCUGAGAGGAUGACCAGCCACACUGGAACUGAGACACGGUCCAGACUCCUACGGGAGGCAGCAGUGGGGAAUAUUGCACAAUGGGCGCAAGCCUGAUGCAGCCAUGCCGCGUGUAUGAAGAAGGCCUUCGGGUUGUAAAGUACUUUCAGCGGGGAGGAAGGGAGUAAAGUUAAUACCUUUGCUCAUUGACGUUACCCGCAGAAGAAGCACCGGCUAACUCCGUGCCAGCAGCCGCGGUAAUACGGAGGGUGCAAGCGUUAAUCGGAAUUACUGGGCGUAAAGCGCACGCAGGCGGUUUGUUAAGUCAGAUGUGAAAUCCCCGGGCUCAACCUGGGAACUGCAUCUGAUACUGGCAAGCUUGAGUCUCGUAGAGGGGGGUAGAAUUCCAGGUGUAGCGGUGAAAUGCGUAGAGAUCUGGAGGAAUACCGGUGGCGAAGGCGGCCCCCUGGACG
rnacentral:rRNA from 1 species